AGUGGUACUAAUUAGAAGGAAAAAGAUGAAAAAAAAAAAAACUGUUUUAUGUUUCACUAUAAAUUCCCUUUUGAGUUAUAAUAUUGGAAAAAAGAAAUGUAUUUCUUGUUGGGUUGAUUCAAUGAAGACCAUCUGAGUGGAAAUUCUAUCUGAAGAACAAAGCAAGAAAAGUGGACAAAAAGCUUUUCUUCCUUUUUUUUUCCUUUUAUCUAAGCAUAUUUAUUAUCAGAGAACUGUUUACUUUUUUAUGUAUGGAUUUAUAAAACUGAAUGGCAACUGUUUCAUUUUUUUACUCUUCGGAUUGAAGAAUACUACACGCCGAUUCUUGAGGGGAAAAAAAAAUAUAUAUAGGCCUAUAUAUAUAUCUAUUUUUCUGUAAUAAACGUAACAGUAAUAACUCGCAAGUAAUGCAAAGAAAAAAAAAGUCAGUCUUUAUGAUUUAUUUAUUAGUUUGGCGAAAUUUAAUCAAAACGAGAUUAGUCAUCGGUUAUAGCAUUUUUUUUUUGCUAGAUAUAUAUAUAUAUAUUGUAUAGCUUUCUACAAGAGUACGUUCAUCCAUCAUCUGCCAUUCUUUUUCCUCGCAAUUCAAAGUCACUUCCGGACCAGACGUAAACACUCGAAAAAUGUUAUUAUCACCAUCUGUCGAGCGAUGGCUGUGUCACUAGAUUGUCGCCAAACACGAAUUUGUCGCAGCUGGUUGCUCUUGUUUAAAAACUACGCUUCCCAAAAGAAUUAUAUUAUUAUUAUUAUUAUUAUUAUUAAAGAAUUGUUUAUCUCUUCCAUCCCUUUUUCGAUUUUCUUUUAACCGUUUUAAAUCGACAGAACGGAGAAAAUAACAUACAUUUAUAAUGACAUCUAUCUAAUUAGAAAACUCGCAGAAAGUUUGUGGUGAAUAUUGAAAAAGAAGAAUUGUUAGUAUUUUCGAGGUAGGAAAACUUCUCUCGACUGUUAUUACGUUCAAUCCUACGAAUUAUGGCAAAGAUGGUGUGCCAAUAUUUGUUGUUGUCUCUGUCUCUCUCUUGUAGCAAAUAAGAAGAGCAUAAGGUCGUCACCUUUAACGUCCAGACAGUUUACAACCCAUGGUCACACACACAGCUAGCUGUCUGUUCCAUAUCCGUUUCCUUCAAAGUAAACGGUAAAAUGUAGUAAAUUAUAAACGCGUUUAUAUUCAUUACCUUCACGCGUGAUAACUUCCAUAGUAAUUAUUAAAAUAUAUUUUGACCGAAAUUUCAAAUUUAGAUUAUUCCAUAACAAGCUAAUAAGUUUAGUCAGUGGAAUGUUUAAAGAUGGAGAGGAACUAUUAAAGUGCUUUGAAUUUUAUAGUAUCAAUAAACAUUAGCCGCUUAUCUAAACCCAAUACGAACUGCUGUUUAGAAUGCUAUUGAGUGAGAGAACACUCGUGUUGACAUACGCAUCGAACAUCUAUUUGGUUUACGCUCUCUACAAUAUUGCACAUCCCUUCCGGAUACAAACACGUCAAUCAAAAUCCAAACGAUGGUCGAGCCGUUUUCGGCCGGUUCUCUCUCUCUCUCUCAUAAUUUUCCAAAUUCAUUUAAAGAGUUUAAUCGAAAAAUCGCAUUUUAUUGGCAUUCUUGUACGAAAAUUGGAAAAAGUUUCUGUCACAAUUCUCCAAACUGUCAUUUGUCAUUGAAGAUUUUGUGUGGGGAGAGACGAAGUGUUCUUCUACUCUCUCUCUCUCUCUCUUUUUUCCUUUUUUUUUUUUUUUUUUUUUUAAAAUAUAGGGAUUUGGUUAGCAUAUAUAAUUCAUAAUUGA
rnacentral:lncRNA from 1 species